UCCCGGUUGAUCCUGCCAGAGGUUACUGCUAUCGGUGUUCGACUAAGCCAUGCGAGUCAUAUGUUCUUCGUGAACAUGGCGGACUGCUCAGUAACACGUGGAUAACCUGCCCUUAGGUUCGGCAUAACUCCGGGAAACUGGAGAUAAUUCCGAAUAGGUCACAUAUGCUGGAAUGCUUUUUGACCAAAAGACCUCGGUUGCCUAAGGAUGGAUCUGCGGUCUAUCAGGUAGUAGUGGGUAUAACGUACCUACUAGCCUACGACGGAUAUGGGUUGUGAGAGCAAGAGCCCAGAGAUGGAUUCUGAGACAUGAAUCCAGGCCCUACGGGGCGCAGCAGGCGCGAAAACUUUACAAUGCGGGAAACCGCGAUAAGGGGACACCGAGUGCCAGCAUUUAUGUUGGCUGUCCACAUGUGUAAACGGCAUGUGUUAGCAAGGGCCGGGCAAGACCGGUGCCAGCCGCCGCGGUAACACCGGCGGCCCGAGUGGUAAUCACUUUUAUUGGGUCUAAAGGGUCCGUAGCCGGUUUGAUCAGUUCUUCGGGAAAUCUGACAGCUCAACUGUUAGGCUUCCGGGGAAUACUGUCAGACUUGGGACCGGGAGAGGUAAGAGGUACUACAG
rnacentral:rRNA from 1 species